CACGGGGGGAGCGAACGUUGUUCGGAAUCACUGGGCGUAAAGGGCGUGUAGGCGGUUCGGUAAGUGGAAUGUGAAAUCCCCCGGCUUACCCGGGGAACUGCAUCCCAUACUGCUGGACUUGAGUGCGGGAGAGGAUGGAGGAAUUCCUGGUGUAGCGGUGAAAUGCGCAGAUAUCAGGAGGAACACCGAUGGCGAAGGCAGGUCUCUGGGCCACUACUGACGCUGAGAAGCGAAAGCAUGGGGAGCGAACAGG
rnacentral:rRNA from 1 species